UUCCAGGAGUGGGGCAGGGCAAAUACAAUAUGAGUCUUAAAUAUCUCGUGGUGCCAGAAGGAGUGGAUGUUAUGACAGAGGAAUGCAGGAAGGAAGGAUAUCAGGCUCUGAACGUCCAUCCAUGUAAAACAUUGAAUAAGACUAGCUGUUAAACAGGGCUUUUUCCUCAGAAAGUUGUCAUAAUUGUGACUCCAUCAAAUUCUUCUAACAGCAAGUACUCAUAUGGGCCCAUUUUACAGAAGAAGGAAAACUCUUGAGGUCCAGGCCAACAAAUGUAAGAGAGAGCUAGAAGACUCAUGAAACCUGAUCACUCAAACACGCC